rnacentral:rRNA from 1 species
CGCGCUAUCAUGCAGUCGAGGGGCAUCGCAGGUAGCAAUACUGGGCGGCGACCGGCAAACGGGUGCGGAACACGUACGUAACCUUCCUUUAAGUGGGAGAUAGCCCGAAGAAAUUCGGAUUAAUACCCCAUAAGAUCAUAGAGUGGCAUCACUUAGUGAUUAAAGAAUUUCGCUUAAAGAUGGGCGUGCGGCUGAUUAGGUAGUUGGUGAGGUAACGGCUCACCAAGCCAACGAUCAGUAACUGGCGUGAGAGCGCGACCAGUCACACGGGCACUGAGACACGGGCCCGACUCCUACGGGAGGCAGCAGUAAGGAAUAUUGGUCAAUGGACGGAAGUCUGAACCAGCCAUGCCGCGUGAAGGAUGAAGGUCCUCUGGAUUGUAAACUUCUUUUAUAUGGGAAGAAACCACUUUUAUCUAAAGAUGUUGACGGUACCAUAGGAAUAAGCACCGGCUAACUCCGUGCCAGCAGCCGCGGUAAUACGGAGGGUGCAAGCGUUAUCCGGAUUCACUGGGUUUAAAGGGUGCGUAGGCGGAUUGGUAAGUCCGUGGUGAAAUCUCCGAGCUUAACUCGGAAACUGCCAUGGAUACUAUUAGUCUUGAAUAUUGUGGAGGUUAGCGGAAUAUGUCAUGUAGCGGUGAAAUGCAUAGAUAUGACAUAGAACACCAAUUGCGAAGGCAGCUGGCUACACAAAUAUUGACGCUGAUGCACGAAAGCGUGGGGAUCAAACAGGAUUAGAUACCCUGGUAGUCCACGCCCUAAACGAUGAUUACUCGACAUUUGCGAUAUACAGUAAGUGUCUGAGCGAAAGCAUUAAGUAAUCCACCUGGGAAGUACGACCGCAAGGUUG